AUUGAACGCUGGCGGCAUGCCUUACACAUGCAAGUCGAACGGCAGCACGGGGGGCAACCCUGGUGGCGAGUGGCGAACGGGUGAGUAACAUAUCGGAACGUGCCCUGGAGUGGGGGAUAACUAGUCGAAAGAUUAGCUAAUACCGCAUACGAUCUACGGAUGAAAGUGGGGGAUCGCAAGACCUCAUGCUCGUGGAGCGGCCGAUAUCUGAUUAGCAGUUGGUGGGGUAAAGGCCUACCAAGGCAUCGAUCAGUAGCUGGUCUGAGAGGACGACCAGCCACACUGGGACUGAGACACGGCCCAGACUCCUACGGGAGGCAGCAGUGGGGAAUUUUGGACAAUGGGCGCAAGCCUG
rnacentral:rRNA from 1 species